rnacentral:rRNA from 1 species
UUCCAGCUCCAAUAGCGUAUAUUAAAGUUGUUGCGGUUAAAAAGCUCGUAGUCGAAUCUGUGUCCCGCGCCGCCGGUUCAUCGUCCGCGGUGUUAACUGGCGUGCCGCGGGACGUCCUGCCGGUGGGCUUAGCUCGCAAGGGCGGUCCAACUCAAUCCCGCCGCGGUGCUCUUCACUGAGUGUCGAGGUGGGCCGGCACGUUUACUUUGAACAAAUUAGAGUGCUUAAAGCAGGCUAAAACUUCGCCUGAAUACUGUGUGCAUGGAAUAAUGGAAUAGGACCUCGGUUCUAUUUUGUUGGUUUUCGGAACCCCGAGGUAAUGAUUAAUAGGAACGGAUGG